CCAAAGGGCCAUACUGAUCUUAUUAAAAGAAAAGUCGAAUCACUGAAGUUAAAGCAAAUAGAAAAAAAAAAGAAAAAGAGAUACUGUUGACAAAAUAAAUACAACGAAGAAAUUUGAAAUAGAGGCCACACCGAGCGAGGAAAUGUCAAAUGAUAAAGAAAA
rnacentral:lncRNA from 13 species